CAGCAGCCACGGGAAUACGUAGGGUGCAAGCGUUAAUCGGAAUUACUGGGCGUAAAGCGUGCGCAGGCGGUCCGCUAAGACAGAUGUGAAAUCCCCGGGCUUAACCUGGGAACUGCAUUUGUGACUGGCGGGCUAGAGUAUGGCAGAGGGGGGUAGAAUUCCACGUGUAGCAGUGAAAUGCGUAGAGAUGUGGAGGAAUACCGAUGGCGAAGGCAGCCCCCUGGGCCAAUACUGACGCUCACGCACGAAAGCGUGGGGAGCAAACAGGAUUAGAUACCCCUGUAGUCCCUGUAUCUUAUAC
rnacentral:rRNA from 1 species